rnacentral:rRNA from 1 species
GAUGAACGCUGGCGGCGUGCCUAAUACAUGCAAGUCGAGCGAACAGAUGAGGAGCUUGCUCCUCUGACGUUAGCGGCGGACGGGUGAGUAACACGUGGAUAACCUACCUAUAAGACUGGGAUAACUUCGGGAAACCGGAGCUAAUACCGGAUAAUAUAUUGAACCGCAUGGUUCAAUAGUGAAAGACGGUUUUGCUGUCACUUAUAGAUGGAUCCGCGCCGCAUUAGCUAGUUGGUAAGGUAACGGCUUACCAAGGCAACGAUGCGUAGCCGACCUGAGAGGGUGAUCGGCCACACUGGAACUGAGACACGGUCCAGACUCCUACGGGAGGCAGCAGUAGGGAAUCUUCCGCAAUGGGCGGAAGCCUGACGGAGCAACGCCGCGUGAGUGAUGAAGGUCUUCGGAUCGUAAAACUCUGUUAUUAGGGAGAAACAAAUGUGUAAGUAACUAUGCACGUCUUGACGGUACCUAAUCAGAAAGCCACGGCUAACUACGUG